CCGUGAGGGGAAUGAUGUAUUACUAUGAAGCUCUCAAGGUGCUGAAUUAUCUCGAAUCCUUAUCUGAACAUCAGUUGAACACUAGAUCGAGG